AGACCGGCGCACGGGUGCGUAACGCGUAUGCAAUCUACCUUUCACAGAGGGAUAGCCCAGAGAAAUUUGGAUUAAUACCUCAUAGUAUAAUAGCUCGGCAUCGAGCAAUUAUUAAAGUCACAACGGUGAAAGAUGAGCAUGCGUCCCAUUAGCUAGUUGGUAAGGUAACGGCUUACCAAGGCUACGAUGGGUAGGGGUCCUGAGAGGGAGAUCCCCCACACUGGUACUGAGACACGGACCAGACUCCUACGGGAGGCAGCAGUGAGGAAUAUUGGACAAUGGGCGCAAGCCUGAUCCAGCCAUGCCGCGUGCAGGAUGACGGUCCUAUGGAUUGUAAACUGCUUUUGUACGGGAAGAAACACUACUUCGUGAAGUAACUUGACGGUACCGUAAGAAUAAGGAUCGGCUAACUCCGUGCCAGCAGCCGCGGUAAUACGGAGGAUCCAAGCGUUAUCCGGAAUCAUUGGGUUUAAAGGGUCCGUAGGCGGUUUGGUAAGUCAGUGGUGAAAGCCCAUCGCUCAACGGUGGAACGGCCAUUGAUACUGCCAGACUUGAAUUAUUAGGAAGUAACUAGAA
rnacentral:rRNA from 1 species